rnacentral:rRNA from 1 species
CUACGGGUCGCUGCAGUGAGGAAUAUUGCACAAUGGGGGGAACCCUGAUGCAGCAACGCCGCGUGGAGGAUGACGCAUUUCGGUGUGUAAACUCCUUUUAUAUGUCAAGAAAAUGACGGUAGCAUAUGAAUAAGCACCGGCUAACUCCGUGCCAGCAGCCGCGGUAAUACGGAGGGUGCAAGCGUUACUCGGAAUCACUGGGCGUAAAGGACGCGUAGGCGGGUUGGAAAGUCAGGUGUGAAAUCCUACAGCUUAACUGUAGAACUGCACUUGAAACUUCUAAUCUAGAGUAUGGGAGGGGGAGAUGGAAUUAGUGGUGUAGGGGUAAAAUCUGUAGAUAUCACUAGGAAUACCUAAAGCGAAGGCGAUCUCCUGGAGCAUUACUGACGCUAAGGCGUGAAAGCGUGGGGAGCAAACAGGAUUAGAUACCCUCGUAGUC